UCCGGUUGAUCCUGCCGGACCCCACUGCUAUCGAGGUGAGGCUAAGCCAUGCAAGUCGAAGGUCCCCAGCUUCCGGGGGCCUGGCAGACGGCUCAGUAACACGUAGCCAACCUACCCUAGGGAGGUGGACAACUCCGGGAAACUGGGGUUAAACCACCAUAGGAGGCGGGAUCUGGAAGGACCUGCCUCUGAAAGUAGUGUAUAGGGAUGCCUACACACUAGCCCUAGGAUGGGGCUGCGGCCCAUCAUGGUUGUUGGUGGGGUAACGGCCCACCAAGCCUAUAACGGGUACGGGCCCUGAGAGGGGGAGCCCGGAGAUGGACUCUGAGACAAGAGUCCAGGCCCUACGGGGCGCAGCAGGCGCGAAAACUCCCCAAUGCCCGAAAGGGUGAGGGGGUCACCUCGAGUGCCACCCUCGUGGUGGCUUUUGCGGGGUCUAAAAAGCCCCGCGAAUAAGGGGAGGGCAAGACGGGUGUCAGCCGCCGCGGUAAUACCCGCUCCCCGAGUGGUGGGGACUAUUACUGGGCUUAAAGCACCCGUAGCCGGCCGGAUGUGUCUCCCGUUAAAUCCACGGGCCUAACCUGUGGGCUGCGGGAGAUACUGUCCGGCUUGGGGGUGGGAGAGGGCGGCGGUAUUCCCAGGGUAGGGGUAAAAUCCACUGAUCCUGGGAGGACCACCGGUGGCGAAGGCGGCCGCCCAGAACACGCCCGACGGUGAGGGGUGAAAGCUGGGGGAGCAAACGGGAUUAGAUACCCCGGUAGUCCCAGCUGUAAACGAUGCGGGCUAGGUGUCAGGUGGGCUACGGGCUCACCUGGUGCCGAAGGGAAACCAUUAAGCCCGCCGCCUGGGGAGUACGGCCGCAAGGCUGAAACUUAAAGGAAUUGGCGGGGGAGCACCACAAGGGGUGGACGUUGCGGCUUAAUUGGAGUCAACGCCGGAAAGAGAGGCCAGCCAGUGAAAUAUCUAUAAUUCACAUUUAAAGUAAUUAUUACUGUAAUUGUUACUGGUGGUGAGUGGGAGCAUACGAGGAGUGUCUGAAAAAUAAGGAGCUCGCAGUCAAGAUGAGUUCGAGUUCGGGCUCAUAGGCGAUGAUAAACCAACCUUGGUGCAGUCAAGAAGAAAUAUUAAGCAGAUUGAGGUAAUCUUCAAUAUAUGCCGAGAACGUGGAUGGACAACUUCGGAGAAUCUCUUAUUCAAGAGAGGAAAUCCAUACUUCAGAAUAAGCGUGCAGGGAUUCCGUGAAAUCUACAAUAUUGCCGGACCAUUUGCUCACCUAGAAAAGAAUCAAUAGGCUCAGCUAUUACUUGAGCGUGCUGGCAAAGUAGGCGGCUGUAAGGGCAAUGAACAACUAACUGAAAAGUAAGUGCUUGAAAU
rnacentral:rRNA from 1 species